rnacentral:rRNA from 1 species
GUCUUUUUGAUAAUAAUUUAAAGUCUAAUCUGCCCACUGAUAUAAUUAUUAAAGGGCUGCAGUAUAUUGACUGUACAAAGGUAGCAUAAUCAUUAGUCUUUUAAUUGAAGACUUGUAUGAAAGAUUUGAUGAAAUAUAAACUGUCUCUAAUUUAUUGAAAUAAAAUUUAAUUUUUUAGUAAAAAAGCUAAAAUAAAAUUAAAAGACGAGAAGACCCUAUAGAGUUUUAUAAUUAAAUUAAUUGAUUUAAAAUAUAUAAAUAUAAAAAUAAAAUUAUUUUAAUUAUUUUAUUGGGGUGAUAGAAAAAUUAAAAAAACUUUUUUUAAAGAUUAACAUUAAUAAGUGAAUAAUUGAUCCAUUAAUAAUGAUUAUAAGAAAAAAUUACCUUAGG